rnacentral:lncRNA from 1 species
UCUUUUGCAUUGUCAGCUAGAGAAAAAGGAAAUGCCCUUAGCUUGAUUUGUUCUUCUGUAACUCCUUGUGGUCUCAUGCUGGAACAUACCACAUGGAACUCUUUCAAAUGUCUAUGAGGAUCUUCCCUUUCAAUUCCUCUAAAGAUGGGGAGGAGAUGAAUUAAUCCUGAUUUUAGCUCAAGUGGUGCAUUUAGUGCAGGAUACACGAUGCACAGGGGUUGAGGGUCAUCCACAUUGUCAACAUCCUGUAUUGCUUGUUCUUCAGCCAUUUUCUCUUCCACGUCAGACUCACCAGAGGUAUCGUCCGGGUCAGAUGCUGUUUCCUCCGUGCCCGCGACCUGUUCGUCGACAAUAACCUGUUCU